CAGUAGCCGCGGGAAUACGUAGGCGGCAAGCGUUGUCCGGAAUUAUUGGGCGUAAAGGGCUCGCAGGCGGUUUCUUAAGUCUGAUGUGAAAGCCCCCGGCUCAACCGGGGAGGGUCAUUGGAAACUGGGAAACUUGAGUGCAGAAGAGGAGAGUGGAAUUCCACGUGUAGCGGUGAAAUGCGUAGAGAUGUGGAGGAACACCAGUGGCGAAGGCGACUCUCUGGUCUGUAACUGACGCUGAGGAGCGAAAGCGUGGGGAGCGAACAGGAUUAGAUACCCGAGUAGUCCCUGUCUCUUAUAC
rnacentral:rRNA from 1 species